UUAUGGCUAAUGGUGGCUUGCCUUGCAAUUGAGCUUGGUUGGUUGCUUUUAGUUGGGUGAUUUCGGGGAUGUUUUACCGUAAAGGUGCAUGAGUGGUGUUUGGUUUGUUACGGGUGGUUGGCUCUUUGCUUGCGCAACAACUUCCACCUGGCAUACCUCUUCAGUUUUGCGUCAAUGCUUGUAUCGUGUUUGACGCAGUGUGGGUUUCUUGUGUUGCAUCCCUAACAAAUGGUAUCCUUUGAAGAAUUGAUGUCUAUUUUCGUCUUGUAUCGCGCAUGUGGUGCAUGAUGAACCUUAAAGCGACCUCUUUGAUCCACUCAUUUAAUGCAUAUGCAUUGAUUUUGUGGCUCAUUGAGUGUGCUUGGUCUCAAUGAUAUGGAACCUUGAGUGGGCAUGGGAUCUUUUACUAGUUCCUUAUUUGCCUUAUCAAAGCUUUUCAAAUACGAUUUCCUAUCAUGACUUAUCGUGGUAGGUUACAUCGAUUAUGAAUG
rnacentral:misc_RNA from 1 species